rnacentral:rRNA from 1 species
GACGAACGCUGGCGGCGCGCCUCAUACAUGCAAGUCGAACGAGAAGCUCGGAGCUUGCUCCGGGUGGAGAGUGGCGAACGGGUGAGUAACACGUGAGAAACCUGCCCCGAAGACCGGGAUAACACCGGGAAACCGGUGCUAAUACCGGAUGUCCUUGCCGGACCGCAUGAUCUGGUAAGGAAAUGGAUUCCGCUUCGGGAUGGUCUCGCGGCCUAUCAGCUUGUUGGCGGGGUAACGGCCCACCAAGGCUACGACGGGUAGCUGGUCUGAGAGGAUGUCCAGCCACACUGGGACUGAGACACGGCCCAGACUCCUACGGGAGGCAGCAGUAGGGAAUCUUGGACAAUGGGCGCAAGCCUGAUCCAGCCAUGCCGCGUGAGUGAAGAAGGCCUUAGGGUUAGUAAGCUCUUUUACCAGGGACGAUAAUGACGGUACCUGGAGAAUAA